rnacentral:rRNA from 1 species
UACGUAGGGCGCAAGCGUUGUCCGGAAUUAUUGGGCGUAAAGAGCUCGUAGGCGGCUUGUCACGUCGGGUGUGAAAGCCCGGGGCUUAACCCCGGGUCUGCAUUCGAUACGGGCUGGCUAGAGUGUGGUAGGGGAGAUCGGAAUUCCUGGUGUAGCGGUGAAAUGCGCAGAUAUCAGGAGGAACGCCGGUGGCGAAGGCGGAUCUCUGGGCCAUUACUGACGCUGAGGAGCGAAAGCGUGGGGAGCGAACAGG